rnacentral:rRNA from 1 species
CCUACGGGAGGCAGCAGUAGGGAAUCUUCCACAAUGGGCGAAAGCCUGAUGGAGCAACGCCGCGUGAGUGAUGAAGGCCUUCGGGUUGUAAAACUCUGUCAUUCGGGACGAACCGGAGUCUGAGGAAAUGCAGACUCUCUGACGGUACCGGAGGAGGAAGCCCCGGCUAACUACGUGCCAGCAGCCGCGGUAAUACGUAGGGGGCAAGCGUUGUCCGGAUUCACUGGGCGUAAAGCGCGCGCAGGCGGUGAUGUAAGUCUGAGGUGAAAACCCGAAGCUCAACUUCGGGACUGCCUUGGAUACUGCGUCACUUGAGGAUAGGAGAGGCAAGGGGAAUUCCACGUGUAGCGGUGAAAUGCGUAGAGAUGUGGAGGAACACCUGUGGCGAAGGCGCCUUGCUGGCCUAUUUCUGACGCUGAGGCGCGAAAGCGUGGGGAGCAAACAGGAUUAGAUACCCUGGUAGUCCACGCUGUAAACGAUGAGUGCUAGGUGUAGGUGGGCUCAUACCCAUCUGUGCCGAAGCUAACGCAUUAAGCNCNCGCGNGGAGUACGGUCGCGAGACGAGAACGUACGAAGAAGUUAGACGGACGUUGGAGACGNGCCGACGGACGACGACGAGGGGAGGUUAGG